GUGGGGAAUCUUGCGCAAUGGGCGAAAGCCUGACGCAGCCAUGCCGCGUGAAUGAUGAAGGUCUUAGGAUUGUAAAAUUCUUUCACCGGGGACGAUAAUGACGGUACCCGGAGAAGAAGCCCCGGCUAACUUCGUGCCAGCAGCCGCGGUAAUACGAAGGGGGCUAGCGUUGCUCGGAAUUACUGGGCGUAAAGGGCGCGUAGGCGGAUCGUUAAGUCAGGGGUGAAAUACCAGAGCUCAACUCUGGAACUGCCCUUGAUACUGGCGAUCUUGAGUGUGAGAGAGGUAUGUGGAACUCCGAGUGUAGAGGUGAAAUUCGUGGAUAUUCGGAAGAACACCAGUGGCGAAGGCGACAUACUGGCUCAUUACUGACGCUGAGGCGCGAAAGCGUGGGGAGCAAACAGGAUUAGAAACCCGAGUAGUCC
rnacentral:rRNA from 1 species